AAUAAGAUCAGCUAAUUAUAAGCUUAUGGGUUCAUACCUCAUAUAUGAAAUAAUUACUCCUUCUU
rnacentral:tRNA from 1 species